AUUGAACGCUGGCGGCAUGCUUUACACAUGCAAGUCGAACGGUAACAGGCCUUCGGGUGCUGACGAGUGGCGAACGGGUGAGUAAUGCAUCGGAACGUACCUUUCAGUGGGGGAGUAACGUAGCGAAAGUUACGCUAAUACCGCAUAUUCUGUGAGCAGGAAAGCAGGGGAUCGCAAGACCUUGCGCUGAUUGAGCGGCCGAUGUCAGAUUAGCUAGUUGGUGAGGUAAAGGACUCACCAAGGCGACGAUCUGUAGCGGGUCGUGAGAGGAUGAUCCGCCACACUGGAACUGAGACACGGUCCAGACUCCUACGGGAGGCAGCAGUGGGGAA
rnacentral:rRNA from 1 species